rnacentral:lncRNA from 1 species
GGCAGCUCCAACUAUACGGCAGUGGCAAACCGCAAAGCAGCCGCACGUACCAAGAACUUAAAGGAACGCCGGCUGAUGGCCAAAAGUGACAGACAACAAAACAACAAAAUGAAGCCGCCGCAUCCGUAUACCGUAUCCGUAUCCGCAUCCGCAUCCGCUCUUUUCUCUUUUUGCUGGCCAUUGUCUUGCGUAACUAACUUCAAAAUGGCGCAAUUAUGACCACGCCUACAGCUUUCCUGGCUCCUUUUUGCCCACACAUUUUCCAGUUCUUAUUUUCGCUUUAUUAAAUGCUUCAGGUAGCUACUUAAACACGUUUUCGAUUAGAGCAGCUGCUGUCAUUACUCAAAGUCGAAGGGGGUUUGCGGGGGGAUUUCGGGACAAGUCUUGUCAGUCCUUGCCUUUGCCUUUUACUCUUGGCUGCUGUUGCUGUUGCUGCUUUUCCUCUUUUUGUGCUUAUUUUUUUGUUGUUCUUCCUGUACAUCUUCAAUAUUUUAUAAUAAAGCGAAAUUCCAGGAAGAGCCAAACAAAAAUGUGCAGCAGCAGGCGGGGGCCAAGUUGGUGUGUUCUCGGUGGUUACUGGAGUGUGCUG